AUACACAUGGCCGACGCGGAUCAAUAUGCCGCAUCUGUUCUGAUCAGCUUGAUAUCGUACACGGGUUCUAUUUGGACCCAAGGUGGUAUACACGCUUUUGCAAGUUGACGCAGCACUUGAAGCCUGCUUCACCUCCGCUGCAGGUCGGCCCGUUAUUGCGCUAUCUCCGGGAUCGGCCAACGGUUU